AUCAACUUUCGAUGGUAGGAUAGAGGCCUACCAUGGUGGUAACGGGUAACGGGGUGUUAGGGCACGACACCGGAGAGGGAGCCUGAGAAACGGCUACCACAUCCAAGGAUGGCAGCAGGCGCGCAAAUUACCCUAUCCCGACACGGGGAGGUAGUGACAAUAAAUAACAAUACGGGGUUCUUUCGGAUCUCGUAAUUGGAAUGAGUACAAUUUAAAUCUCUUAACGAGGAACAAUUGGAGGGCAAGUCUGGUGCCAGCAGCCGCGGUAAUUCCAGCUCCAAUAGCGUAUAUUAAAGUUGCUGCAGUUAAAAAGCUCGUAGUUGAAUUUCGGGACCACUAUGUCGGUCGUGCUUCGGUACGUACUGUCAUUAUUGGUUUCUCCCUUCUGAAGAACCUUGAUGUCAUUAAUUUGGUGUCUUGGGGAAUCGGGACUGUUACUUUGAAAAAAUUAGAGUGUUUAAAGCAGGCUCGCGCUUGAAUACAUUAGCAUGGAAUAAUGAAAUAGGACGUUUGAUUCUAUUUUGUUGGUUUCUAGGAUCGACGUAAUGAUUAAUAGGGAUAGUUGGGGGCAUUAGUAUUCAAUUGUCAGAGGUGAAAUUCUUGGAUUUAUUGAAGACUAACUACUGCGAAAGCAUUUGCCAAGGAUGUUUUCAUUAAUCAAGAACGAAAGUUAGGGGAUCGAAGACGAUCAGAUACCGUCGUAGUCUUAACCAUAAACUAUGCCGACUAGGGAUCGGAUGAUGUUAAUUUUUUAAUGACUCAUUCGGCGCCUUACGGGAAACCAAAGUGUUUGGGUUC
rnacentral:rRNA from 1 species